rnacentral:rRNA from 1 species
UGGUCGAGUCGGCCUGCGCGGAAGAUGUAACGGGGCUAAACCAUGCACCGAAGCUGCGGCAGCGACGCUUAUGCGUUGUUGGGUAGGGGAGCGUUCUGUAAGCCUGCGAAGGUGUGCUGUGAGGCAUGCUGGAGGUAUCAGAAGUGCGAAUGCUGACAUAAGUAACGAUAAAGCGGGUGAAAAGCCCGCUCGCCGGAAGACCAAGGGUUCCUGUCCAACGUUAAUCGGGGCAGGGUGAGUCGACCCCUAAGGCGAGGCCGAAAGGCGUAGUCGAUGGGAAACAGGUUAAUAUUCCUGUACUUGGUGUUACUGCGAAGGGGGGACGGAGAAGGCUAUGUUGGCCGGGCGACGGUUGUCCCGGUUUAAGCGUGUAGGCUGGUUUUCCAGGCAAAUCCGGAAAAUCAAGGCUGAGGCGUGAUGACGAGGCACUACGGUGCUGAAGCAACAAAUGCCAUGCUUCCAGGAAAAGCCUCUAAGCAUCAGGUAACAUCAAAUCGUACCCCAAACCGACACAGGUGGUCAGGUAGAGAAUACCAAGGCGCUUGAGAGAACUCGGGUGAAGGAACUAGGCAAAAUGGUGCCGUAACUUCGGGAGAAGGCACGCUGAUAUGUAGGUGAAGCGACUUGCUCGUGGAGCUGAAAUCAGUCGAAGAUACCAGCUGGCUGCAACUGUUUAUUAAAAACACAGCACUGUGCAAACACGAAAGUGGACGUAUACGGUGUGACGCCUGCCCGGUGCCGGAAGGUUAAUUGAUGGGGUCAGCGCAAGCGAAGCUCUUGAUCGAAGCCCCGGUAAACGGCGGCCGUAACUAUAACGGUCCUAAGGUAGCGAAAUUCCUUGUCGGGUAAGUUCCGACCUGCACGAAUGGCGUAAUGAUGGCCAGGCUGUCUCCACCCGAGACUCAGUGAAAUUGAACUCGCUGUGAAGAUGCAGUGUACCCGCGGCAAGACGGAAAGACCCCGUGAACCUUUACUAUAGCUUGACACUGAACAUUGAGCCUUGAUGUGUAGGAUAGGUGGGAGGCUUUGAAGUGUGGACGCCAGUCUGCAUGGAGCCGACCUUGAAAUACCACCCUUUAAUGUUUGAUGUUCUAACGUUGACCCGUAAUCCGGGUUGCGGACAGUGUCUGGUGGGUAGUUUGACUGGGGCGGUCUCCUCCUAAAGAGUAACGGAGGAGCACGAAGGUUGGCUAAUCCUGGUCGGACAUCAGGAGGUUAGUGCAAUGGCAUAAGCCAGCUUGACUGCGAGCGUGACGGCGCGAGCAGGUGCGAAAGCAGGUCAUAGUGAUCCGGUGGUUCUGAAUGGAAGGGCCAUCGCUCAACGGAUAAAAGGUACUCCGGGGAUAACAGGCUGAUACCGCCCAAGAGUUCAUAUCGACGGCGGUGUUUGGCACCUCGAUGUCGGCUCAUCACAUCCUGGGGCUGAAGUAGGUCCCAAGGGUAUGGCUGUUCGCCAUUUAAAGUGGUACGCGAGCUGGGUUUAGAACGUCGUGAGACAGUUCGGUCCCUAUCUGCCGUGGGCGCUGGAGAACUGAGGGGGGCUGCUCCUAGUACGAGAGGACCGGAGUGGACGCAUCACUGGUGUUCGGGUUGUCAUGCCAAUGGCACUGCCCGGUAGCUAAAUGCGGAAGAGAUAAGUGCUGAAAGCAUCUAAGCACGAAACUUGCCCCGAGAUGAGUUCUCCCUGACUCCUUGAGAGUCCUGAAGGAACGUUGAAGACGACGACGUUGAUAGGCCGGGUGUGUAAGCGCAGCGAUGCGUUGAGCUAACCGGUACUAAUGAACCGUGAGGCUUAACCUU